UACGUAGGGGGCUAGCGUUGUCCGGAAUCAUUGGGCGUAAAGAGCGUGUAGGCGGUCCGGUAAGUCCGCUGUGAAAGUCGGGGGCUCAACCCUGGAAAGCCGGCCGAUACUGUCGGACUAGAGUCCGGAAGAGGCAAGUGGAAUUCCCGGUGUAGCGGUGAAAUGCGCAGAUAUCGGGAGGAACACCAAUUGCGAAGGCAGCUUGCUGGGACGGUACUGACGCUGAGGCGCGAAAGCGUGGGGAGCAAACAGG
rnacentral:rRNA from 1 species